rnacentral:lncRNA from 1 species
UUCAGCUACUCACAGUGAGGUUAUUGUAGUUUGACUACACGCAUACAUGGUCUCUAGUCAUAUGGGUCCUUGUAGUGUAGAUUGGCUGCAUUAAGUUCACUGUAGGAGUAGGGUAUGCACUUACAUGGAAUCUAUCGACCAAGAUAGAAGAGGAGUGAUCCUAUGUGAUUUGUUAGACUGCGUUCUAAGACCUUGGCCAGGGCAGUAAUAUAAAGUGGAAAAAGAGUUUUCCAC